rnacentral:rRNA from 1 species
UCACCGGGGGGGAUUGAUUACUCUCGAUGGUACUGCAUGGAUACCAUGGAUUUCGUGGAUAACUGGGACCUAGGGUUCGAUUCUGGAGCAGGAGCCUGAGAGGGGCUACUACAUCUUACGGAAGGCAGCAUGCGCGUAAAUUACCCAUUCCUGACUCAGGAAGGUGGUGACAACAUAUAACUACGCCCUCUAAUUGUGACUGUAGUGAGGGUAUUCCAUACCGAACCACUAGCACGAUCAGAGGGCAAGUCUGGUGCCAGCAGCCGCGGUAUUCCAGCUCUAAUAGCGCAUAUUAUAGUUGCUGCAAUUAAAAGCUCGUAUUUGGAUUUCAAUAUGGAUCACUCAUUCCUAUGGAAUGUGUACCCUACUCCCUCUAUUGGAUGUUACUGUGAGAUGAUUAUAGCGUUUAAGCAGGCUCAUGCUCGAUUACUUUACGCGAGGAACACGACAGAGACACAAGAGAGGAAGAAGCGCCGGCCCGAUCUACUAAUGACAGCUGGAGGGCAUCUAUCACUCCAGUCGUCCCAUGUCGUAUAGUCUGGACUUGGUAGAUGACUACCGGAUGCGACAACCCUCUCGCCCACGGAUGUCUUUCCUUGGUCGAGGACGUACGAUCAGGGAUCUUAGACUAUCGGAUUGCUGACGUAGUCCUAC